GCUAGGUGUGGUGGCGCACGCCUGUAAUCCGAGUUACUCAGGAGGCUGAGGCACGAGAAUUGCUUGAACCCAGGAGGCAGAGGUUGCAGUGAGCCGAGAUCGUGCCACUGCACUCCAGCCUGGGUGACAGGGCAAAAUUCUGUCUCAA
rnacentral:SRP_RNA from 1 species